CAUUAUCGAACAAUGGAGGCACAAGGGCUGUCGCUGACUUUUAGUCGUGCACGCCCUUAGUGUCUGCAUCCCCCAUCCCUUUCACCCCUUGUGCACCACCGCGUGGGUGCCCCUUUUGGCUUUGUCUAGAAGGGUCGCUUGCGUUUUUAACACACACACCCAGUGCAGUGUAGAAUGUCUUUUAUGCGAUAACACGCAAUUAAUACAACUUUCAACAACGGAUCUCUUGGCUCUCGCAUCGAUGAAGAACGCAGCGAAAUGCGAUACGUAAUGUGAAUUGCAGAAUUCAGUGAAUCAUNNAAUCUUUGAACGCACCUUGCGCCCCUUGGCAUUCCGAGGGGCACACCCGUUUGAGUGUCGUGACAUCUUCAACCUUCUUGGUUUCUUGACCAAGAAAGGCUUGGAAUUUGGAGGCUCUUUUGCUGGCUUUCUUUGUAAAGGCUGGCUCCUCCCAAAUGCAUUAGUGGGAUCAACUUUGCCGAUCCUAGACGUGAUAAGUUGCUUCUACGUCCUUUGGAUCGCAAUGCACCUGCUCCUAACCGUCUCAUCUGACGAGACAAACUCUGUACAAAAAUCUCUUGACCUCAAAUCGGGUGAGACUACCCGCUGAACUUAAGCAUAUCAAUAA
rnacentral:rRNA from 1 species